CCCAGGCUCUUGAAAAAGAAAACAACAACAAUAAAAAAAUUAAUCAAUCUUUAAAAAUGUAUCCUUUAAAAAAAUUAAAAUGUAUCAUUUCUUUAGAAAAAAGUGCCAGGGCUGGAGAGAUGGCUCAGAGGUUAAGAGCACUGGCUGCGCUUCCAGAGGUCCUGAGUUCAAUUCCCAGCAACCACAUGGUGGUCACAACCAUCUGUAAUGGGAUCCAAUGCCCUCUUCUGGCAUGCUGGCAUGUAUUCAGAUAGAGCAUUCAUAUGUAUAAAUAAAUCUUAAUUUUAAAAAAGGAAAGAAAAGUUAUCCAACUUAAGCUCUGUAUUUUACUAAUAACUUAAUGAAAAUUUGGGAAAACACAUUUUGACAGAUAGAAACAUAAAGACAAUAGUUAUAACAAGGUUUAAAUUAUGUGGGAAUAGAUGAUGUAAGAAGUUGGUAUCAUUUUUCAGUUCCCUAAGUGGGUAAUGAGAGAUUGCUGGCUUGUAAUGUGGAAAUUAGUAAGGAGCCUGAACAAACAGCUGGAUCCUUCUUAGCUCUGGGCUCACCCUGAAAGAACUGGCUCACAGGGAAACCGAAAGUCGAAAGUCGGUUAGCUCAAGACUUGAGGGUGAGGAUUCCUCUCACACAUCUGUGUUGCUUAAAGUGGUGGGAUGCAGCUGUUUUUGGUUUCUCUCUAACUUCCCCGCCCUUCUUCCCCUCUCCUUUACUG
rnacentral:lncRNA from 1 species